CGGUAAUUCCAGCUCCAAUAGCGUAUACUAAAGUUGUUGCAGUUAAAAAGCUCGUAGUUGGAUUUCUGCGGGGACGGAGCGGCCGGACGCAACUUGCGUCUCGAGCUAGCGCUUUCCCCGCAUCCUGCCGCGAACCGUGCUACCAUUAGCUCGGUGGCGCUGGGGAUCGGCUCGAUUACUUUGAGAAAAAUAGAGUGUUCAAAGCAGGCCACACGCCUUGAAUAAGUUAGCAUGGAAUAAUGACUAAGGACUUCGGUUCUAUUUUGUUGGUGUUCGGGACUGAAGUAAUGAUUGAUAGGGACAGUUGGGGCGGUCUGUAUUCCAAAGCGAGAGGUGAAAUUCUUAGACCUUCGGAAGACAAACAGCUGCGAAAGCGUUCCGCAAGGAUGUUCCCUUUGAUCAAGAACGAAAGUUGGGGGAUCGAAGACGAUCAGAUACCGUCGUAGUCUCAACUAUAAACUAUACCAGCUAGGGAUCGGUCAACGUUUAAUCAUUCGACUUGAUCGGCACCUUAUGAGAAAUCAAAGCAUCUGGGUUCCGGGGGGAGUAUGGUCGCAAGGCUGAAACUUAAAGGAAUUGACGGAAGGGCACCACCAGCCGUGGAGCCUGUGGCUUAAUUUGACUCAACACGGGAAAACUUACCAGGUCCAGACAUAGUAAGGAUUGACAGAUUGAUAGCUCUUUCUUGAUUCUGUGGGUGGUGGUGCAUGGCCGUUCUUAGUUGGUGGAGUGAUUUGUCUGGUUAAUUCCGUUAACGAACGAGACCCCAGCCUGCUAAAUAGCGCGGCUGAGCUUUGCUCGGUGCGAGCUUCUUAGAGGGACUAUGAUGCGCGAUAGCACAUGGAAGUUUGGGGCAAUAACAGGUCUGUGAUGCCCUUAGAUGUUCUGGGCCGCACACGGGCUACACUGGCGCCUGCAACGAGCAUAUCAGCUGGCCCGAGAGGGUCUUGGCUAAUCUUUUGAACCGGCGCCGUGCUUGGGAUUGACCAUUGCAAUUGUUGGUCAUGCAACGAGGAAUGCCUUGUAAACGCGAGUCAUCAGCUCGCAUUGAAUACGUCCCUGCCCUUUGUACACACCGCCCGUCGCUCCUACCGAUGAAUGUUCCGAUGAAAUUUUCGGAGAGCGCCAGAGAACGGGGCUCCGCCUUGCAGAUCUGGAGGCUCAAAGUCACUUAAAUCUGAACAUUUCGAGGAAGGAGAAGUCGUAACAAGGUAGCCG
rnacentral:rRNA from 1 species